UAUGGAGUUCAAAUGUCAGGUAAUGCGCGCUACGCUGUAUCGGAGCCCCCUUCACGCGACUACCUUCUAGGAUAAUUAGAACAUUAUCCAGAUAAUGUACUCUUCACCCUGAUUGGACGAUGCCUGGGGUUCAGAAAAAUCGAAUUUAUUGAGGGAAGGUUAGCCGCAAGAUCGCAAAACUACACAGCGACUGAGGCUCUGAAUCGAAGCAGAGAUGCAAGUAUAUUUAGGCUGUACUUUUCCCAAAAUAUAAUUUCUCACUUACAGACGUUCUAUGCAAUGCGCCUGACAUGUGAUAAUUAAACGUGCCAACGAUGGUUAUUGUAGCCCACCUGACCCAGCUACAACGAAUUCAUGCCAGGAAAAUAAGGUUGUCACAUUUUUCCGGUUUGGUUCAGUUUGAGUUUUGGUUUAGGCUAUAUCCCAAUGAGGGUAAGAUUACAUUUGAAAAAUAAGAUGAAAUUUGAACGCUAAUGCGGACACUUGUGUAACAUAAUAAAUAGGCCUAGACCUUCAGCGUCCCAGUGUUUUGUAAAUGGGCGAUUUUGAAAGUAGACGCACUUGUCAACUGCAAAAUAAUCUUAUUCGCGGGAGGGCAGCACAGUAUAAUUCUCUGUCGCGGGAGGGCAGCACAGUAUAAUUCUCUGUUGGGUUCACACUAACCUUUUCAGUGCCUAAUAGUCCCAUUGAAAGCCAAUACUCUGUCAAACAGUUACUAUACGUCGAGAAAAGUGUAUUAUCUCUAUUUAAGCAUUAGCAUAUGUUGAUUUGUUAUGGCUCAUGGUUGCCCAAAUGUUUGUGCAUCAAUAGAUUUAUUAUGAAGGAGCUUAUAAUGCUGCAUCUUUUGAUGGAACACUGGGCAGUGAAUGUUGACAUGGGAAACCUACAGGACUGUACCAACAACAAGAAUACUUGUGGUCAGGCAGUGCAUUCUUUAGUUCUGUUCUCUGCUUACAUGACCAAGAAUCCUCGACGCCUCUUGUUUGUUAGUCAAGGCAAUGACCUCCACUGGCCAGCCGGAGACAACAGUUGGAGACAAGCCGCAGGAGCUCCUCCGGUGUGAAAGUCCCUGUUAAAAGACUCCUACAUCGGUCACCCCUUGCCCGCCCCUCCUACAGACACCCAGCGUUGGUACGGCCUCAGGACUGAUGACAUUGUGAAAUGGACAAAAAGAAACAUUGUGAACCAGAAGUUGAACAAGGCGCUUAAAGGCAAUGGAGAACAAGUGGUCUAAAUGAGGCCAGGGUGCAGUGGCCAUUUCACACCCUCACCGCAGCGCCCAUGCACCCUCUACAUUAUGCACAUCUCUUUUUACACAUAUAUCUACAUGCAAGCCUUUACAAACCCUUUCUGGUACGUUCAGUCUCACAUUCACACACAAUGCACAAGCAUACACACACGAACAUUGUCACAAACUCUCAAAACUACAAAAGCAACCCAUCUCCUGACCUCUAAACACAUUCCAACACAUUUGUAUGUAGACACAAGUUCAUGAUCUCUUUUACCGCAAUAAAAGUAGAACAAGCAUCCCU